rnacentral:rRNA from 1 species
GACGAACGCUGGCGGCGUGCUUAACACAUGCAAGUCGAACGGUGAAGCGAGUGCUUGCACUCGUGGAUCAGUGGCGAACGGGUGAGUAACACGUGAGUAACCUGCCCAUCACUCUGGGAUAAGCACUGGAAACGGUGUCUAAUACUGGAUACGACCAACCCUUGCAUGGGGUGUUGGUGGAAAGAUUUAUCGGUGAUGGAUGGACUCGCGGCCUAUCAGCUUGUUGGCGGGGUAAUGGCCCACCAAGGCGACGACGGGUAGCCGGCCUGAGGGGGGGACCGGCCACACUGGGACUGGGACACGGCCCAGACUCCUACGGGAGGCAGCAGUGGGGAAUAUUGCACAAUGGGCGAAAGCCUGAUGCAGCGACGCCGCGUGAGGGAUGACGGCCUUCGGGUUGUAAACCUCUUUCAGCAGGGAAGAAGCGAAAGUGACGGUACCUGCAGAAGAAGCACCGGCUAACUACGUG